GUCGAACGGGGAACCGCGAACCGACGUUUUCGGAUGAAGGGGAGCGGUUUUUAGUGGCGGACGGGUGAGUAACGCGUGAGCGACCUGUCCUGCAGAGGGGGACAACAACGGGAAACCGUUGCUAAUACCGCAUAAGACCACGGUCCUGCAUGGGGCCGGGGUAAAAGGAGGAAUCCGCUGCAGGAGGGGCUCGCGUCCCAUUAGAUAGUUGGUGGGGUAACGGCCCACCAAGUCGACGGUGGGUAGCCGGACUGAGAGGUUGACCGGCCACACUGGGACUGAGACACGGCCCAGACUCCUACGGGAGGCAGCAGUGGGGAAUAUUGGGCAAUGGGCGAAAGCCUGACCCAGCAACGCCGCGUGAAGGAAGAAGGUUUUCGGAUUGUAAACUUCUGUCAUAGGGGACGAAGGACGUGACGGUACCCUAUGAGGAAGCCCCGGCUAACUACGUGCCAGCAGCCGCGGUAAUACGUAGGGGGCGAGCGUUGUCCGGAAUUACUGGGCGUAAAGGGUGCGUAGGCGGCGAUGCAAGUCCAUUGUGAAAAGCCCGGGCCUAACCUGGGAGGUGCAGUGGAAACUGUAUGGCUUGAGUGCAGGAGAGGGAAGUGGAAUUCCUAGUGUAGCGGUGAAAUGCGUAGAUAUUAGGAGGAACACCAGUGGCGAA
rnacentral:rRNA from 1 species